rnacentral:rRNA from 1 species
GACGGAGGGGGCAAACGUUAUCCGGAAUUAUUGGGCGUAAAGGGUACGUAGGCGGCUGGUCAAGUCUGGGGUCAAAGGCCACAGCUCAACUGUGGGAAGGCCCUGGAAACUGACCGGCUAGAGUGAGGUAGGGGUUGCGGGAAUUCCCGGUGUAGCGGUGAAAUGCGUAGAGAUCGGGAAGAACACCUGAGGCGGAAGCGCGCAACUGGGCCUCAACUGACGCUGAGGUACGAAAGCUCGGGGAGCGAGUGGG